AAACAAUUCAAGUAGCAAUAAUAAAACGCAUUAUCAUUUUAUGUUUACACUUAUUGAAGUUUGUACUAUUGAUUAUACAUUUGUUUGAAGUAUUUGAAUAUACAUUUUACACUAAAAAGAAAAAAUAUUAAAUUAAAAAUGGGUAUUAUUAAACGUUUCCGUGCUCAAGUAUUGAUACAAAAAGCUUCGUCUAGAAAAUCGAUUGCGCCUGAAUUUUAUCGAAGAAUAUCACAAACUGCAUCACAAUCGCAGAAAGACAUAAAUAACAAUAUAAAUAACAAGAAAACUGUUAGCAUUGAUAUUAAACAAUCCAAGUCUUCAUCCUAACAAUAAAGAAAUAAGAUAAACUAAUAAAUGAUUUCAUUGGAUUCAAUAUGUCGAAUAAUCUAGACUAUUAGACAUAAAAUCUUCUGCAUGAUGUAGAUAAAUUAAAUUACUAUAUAUGUAUAAUCUCUACAGAUAUGAAUCACAUAUGAUAUUAUAUGAAUUAUUAUUAAUAUAUUGUUGUUGAUUAACAACUGUAAUAUGUAUUUUAAUUUAUACUAUAAAAAUCGUGUCAUAACAUAAAACUGCAAUAAAAUAUAUUUUACUUACCUAGCAAGUUUUGCAAGAGGAAAGUGAAUGCACAACUUUUGAUAGAAUUCACAAAAUUCCUUAUAUGAUCGGAAUAAAUAAGUAGGAUCUGCAUGACCUUUUCGUUGUAUACGCAAGAUAUACAUAUAAUAUUUUUCAGGAUCAUAUCGUUUUUGGUAGCCGUGCACUUGAACACUUGUUAACUGACCUUCCUGCUGCAUUCUACAGUGAACAUAUAGACAUUUUUUAAAUAUUCAAUGUGCUUUAAGAAAUAUAAUUUUAAAUUUUUAAUUUACAUUUAAGAGCAAAUAUUAAAAAGUAUAUUAACAAACUUACGUAUAUGUACGUGGUAUAAAAGAUAAUAAUGCUCCAUCAUUAUGGUCGCCCGAAAAUCUAAGUUGUGCUAAAUUAUGUAGAAAAAAGUUGAACUGUGUAAACCAACUUUUAAGUGAACUUUCUAUCAUUCGGGCAAAUGUUGCAGCUGCUUCAGGAUUUGUUUGCUCUGGAAGAAGAGCUUUUUGUACGUAACUAACUGCAUCCACAGUCACACCAGGAAUGCCAGACGAAGUCAUCUGUGAAUUUGUAUAAUUAUUCAUUUUAGAUUUGUUCACAAAUUCUUUGAUUUCAAUGUCACUAAGCUUUUGUUGUAUAACAUGUGAUUUAUAUAAAUCAGUCAUGUUAUUUUUUUGAAACAAUAAAUCAUCCAUUUUUAACA